UACGGAGGGUGCGAGCGUUAAUCGGAAUUACUGGGCGUAAAGGGUGCGUAGGUGGUUAAUUAAGUUAUCUGUGAAAUCCCCGGGCUCAACCUGGGCAGGUCAGAUAAUACUGGUUAACUCGAGUAUGGGAGAAGGUAGUGGAAUUUCCGGUGUAGCGGUGAAAUGCGUAGAGAUCGGAAGGAACACCAGUGGCGAAGGCGGCUACCUGGCCUAAUACUGACACUGAGGCACGAAAGCGUGGGGAGCAAACAGG
rnacentral:rRNA from 1 species